AGAGUUUGAUCCUGGCUCAGAGCGAACGCUGGCGGCAGGCUUAACACAUGCAAGUCGAGCGGGCGUAGCAAUACGUCAGCGGCAGACGGGUGAGUAACGCGUGGGAACGUACCUUUUGGUUCGGAACAACACAGGGAAACUUGUGCUAAUACCGGAUAAGCCCUUACGGGGAAAGAUUUAUCGCCGAAAGAUCGGCCCGCGUCUGAUUAGCUAGUUGGUGAGGUAACGGCUCACCAAGGCGACGAUCAGUAGCUGGUCUGAGAGGAUGAUCAGCCACAUUGGGACUGAGACACGGCCCAAACUCCUACGGGAGGCAGCAGUGGGGAAUAUUGGACAAUGGGCGCAAGCCUGAUCCAGCCAUGCCGC
rnacentral:rRNA from 1 species